GAUGAACGCUGGCGGCGUGCCUAAUACAUGCAAGUCGAGCGAACGGACGAGAAUCUUGCUUCUCUGAUGUUAGCGGCGGACGGGUGAGUAACACGUGGAUAACCUACCUAUAAGACUGGGAUAACUUCGGGAAACCGGAGCUAAUACCGGAUAAUAUUUUGAACCGCAUGGUUGAAAAGUGAAAUACGGUCUUGCUGUCACUUAUAGAUGGAUCCGCGCUGCAUUAGCUAGUUGGUAAGGUAACGGCUUACCAAGGCAACGAUGCAUAGCCGACCUGAGAGGGUGAUCGGCCACACUGGAACUGAGACACGGUCCUGACUCCUACGGGAGGCAGCAGUAGGGAAUCUUCCGCAAUGGGCGAAAGCCUGACGGAGCAACGCCGCGCGAGUGAUGAAGGUCUUCGGAUCGUAAAACUCUGUUAUUAGGGAAGAACAUAUGUGUAAGUAACUGUGCACAUCUUGACGGUACCUAAUCAGAAAGCCACGGCUAACUACGUG
rnacentral:rRNA from 1 species